rnacentral:rRNA from 1 species
UGCAACAGAGAGUUCGAUUAUGGCUCAGAUUGAACGCUGGCGGGAUGUUUUACGGCCGAACGGCAGCAAUGGACUUUCGGUCUGGUGGCGAGUGGCGAACGGGUGAGUAAUGUAUCGGAACGUGCCUAGUAGCGGGGGAUAACUACGCGAAAGCGUAGCCAUUACUCUCAUACAGCCCCUUCGGGGGAAAGCGGGGACCUUCGGGCCUCGCAAUUAAUAGAGCGGUCACGAUAUCGAUUAGGCCAGCUGUGGGGUAACGGCUCACCAAGGCGACGAUCCGUAGCUGGUUUGAGAGGACGACCAGCCACACUGGGACUGAGACACGGCCCAGACUCUCACGGGAGGCAGCAGUGGGGAAUUUUGGAUAAUGGGGGAAACCCUGAUCCAGCCAUCCGCGUGUGCGAGAUGAAGGCUCGGGUUGUAAAGCACUUUUGGCAGGAAAGAAACGGCACGGGAUAUCACCCCGUGCAACUGACGGUACCUGCAGAAUAAGCACCGGCUAACUACGUGCCAGCAGCCGCGGUACGGCCGUAGGGUGCAAGCGUUAAUCGGAAUUACUGGGCGUAAAGCGUGCGGCAGGCGGUUCGGAAAGAAAGAUGUGAGAAUCCCAGAGCUUAACUUUGAACUGCAUUUUUAACUACCGAGCUAGAGUGUGUCAGAGGAGGGAAUUCCGCGUGUAGCAGUGAAAUGCGUAGAUAUGCGGAGGAACACCGAUGGCGAAGGCAGCCUCCUGGGAUAACACUGACGCUCAUGCACGAAAGCGUGGGGAGCAACAGGAUUAGAUACCCUGGUAGUCCACGCCCUAAACGAUGUCAACUAGCCGUUGGGGCCGGGCCUUGGUAGCGCAGCUAACGCGUGAAGUUGACCCUCGCCUGGGGAGUACGGUCGCAAGAUUAAAACUCAAAGGAAUUGACGGGGACCGCCCGCGUACAAGCGGUGGACAUGACGAAUUGAUGCAACGCGAAAAACCCUUACCUACCCUUGACAUGUCUGGAACCGAAGAGAUCGGGGAAGGUUCGCGUGAGAACCGGGAACACAGGUGCUGCAUGGUUGUCGUCAGCCUGUAAGUCAGAGAUGUUGGGUUAAGUCCCGCAACGAGCGCAACCCUUUGUCAUUAGUUGCUACGAAAGGGCACUCUAAUGAGACUGCCGGUGACAAACCGGAGGAAGGUGGGGAUGACGUCAAGUCCCUACGGCCCUUAUGGGUAGGCUUCACACGUCAUACAAUGGUCGGGACAGAGGUCGCCAACCCGCGAGGGGGAGCCAAUCCCAGAAACCCGAUCGUAGUCCGGAUCGCAGUCUGCAACUCGACUGCGUGAAGUCGGAAUCGCUAGUAACGCGGAUCAGCAUGUCGCGGUGAAUACGUUCCUGGUCUUGUACACACCGCCCGUCACACCAUGGGAGUGGCUCUACCAGAAGUAGUUAGCCCAACCGUAAGGAGGGCGAUUACCACGGUAGGAUUCACAUGACUGGGGCAGUCGUAAUAAGGUAG